AAACCCAUUGAUAUUGGUAAUAUGAUACGGGUAACAGUGACAGUAGAACAGAAUACAAAAUCACACGACUGGAUAUCACCUGACACGGAUAACUAAGAUUGAGUUUCAAUGCUUGAGCAAACAACGAAAGAAUUUAUCAAAAGUGACAAACAUGGCUUCCAAUAUGGAGAGUUCAAUCAAUAAAGGAUGUGACUAUAUUUUUGACUUUAAUUGUUUCACCUGUCAGGAAACUGACAGAAAUACAGAGGCUGAAUUUUACUGUGAGGAGUAUUCUAAAUUUUACUGUAACAAAUGUGUGGAGUAUCAUAACUAUCUUUUCAAGAAGCAUGCAAUUUUGAGCAAGAAAAACAUCAGCCAGUGGCCUGAGACUGAUGUGGUUGAACAAUAGAAAUGUAAGGAGCACAGGAAAGAAAAACUGACCAUAUUAUGUGAGGACCACAGUCAGCUGAUUUGUCAUGUCUGCCAUGUCCACAAUCAUCAGAAAUGCAGUCAUGUGGUACUAAUAGCUGACAAAGAAAAAGACCUUCACCAAAAAGGAGACUUUAAGCAGUUGUCAGCAUCGUUUGAUACACAAUACCAGGUGUUGAUACGUAAAAAAGAUGACUUGGAGGAAAAUAUGAAGUAUCUGGAGAAAUCGCACAAGAAAAUAAUGGAAGAAAUCAAUGCUUUACGAAAGAAAAUUAAUGAUUCUUUGGAUCAACUGGAGAAAAAUACCAAGAGGGAGUUGGACACAUUUCUAAUCAAUAUGAGGACAUCAAUUCAAACUGACAUCAAAAAAAUGCACUGAGUCAAUCAAGAAUAUAGCACGCUUAAAAGAAGAUUGGCUGGGAAGAAAAGAACUUAAUGAAGUGCAGAGUUUAAUCAAGUAUAGAAGAUGCCUUGACCAGUCCCUCAAGGUAGAAGACAUUUUACAAGAAAUGACAAAAAAGAAUGAGAUGACACUAACCUUUAAUCCUGAUACAACUAUCAAAUAAACCUUGUCCACUCUCUCAGGAUUAGGACAUAUUCUGAGCAUAGUGAAACAAUCACAUCUGGCUAAAAUUACUAAACAGAACACAGUUACCAGACAUAAUAAGCCUAAAGCAUCCAGCCAGUCUGCCUCUGGAAACCAAACAGCUCAAGAAUUCAAAGUAAACAAGUCCAAUCCAGAAUCCAGUUCAUCCAGACAGUACAGCCCUGGAAACAAAACAAGUGAUCUGACCAAGACAGGCCAGGGGUCUGAUCAAGUAUCAAGUCCAUCACACCAGCUGGUCCAGGGCCAUAAAAUAGGGGCAGUAAACAAGCCUGAUCAAAUCAUAAAAGUGAAGAGUAGUAAGAAGUACAGUGUGAAUAUUAAGGGUGCUGAACACAAAUGCAUUAUACGCGGUAUUUGUGAGACAGGUUCUGGAGAAUUCCUCAUCAUAGAUGAGGCAAACUAUAAAGUGAAGCUCCUGGAUCAGACCUACAAGGUGGUGGCCCACUUGGAUUUGCCUGGGCAACAAGUGUCCAUGUGCAGCAUUGAUGACAGUCUGGUGGCUGUCACUAUGUAUAAAAAGCAGGUCCACUUCAUCAGAGUGUCCAAUAGACAGUUGAUAAAGGACAGGAUACUGGAACUCCAACAUGGUUGCAGGGGUAUUGCCCAUCAGCAUAGUAACAUGUACAUUACAGAUGGUACAACUCUGUAUCUCUAUACUAUGGAAGGGAGGCUGGUGACCAAGAUGUAUGAUGUUGGUGAAUUAUGUUGGGACACAGGUAAUAAUUAUCACUAGCAUUAUUCUAAUUUUCUUAACUUAUAAGACCCGUGCUUCUAUGGUAAUUGAAGUCAACAGAUAGUAAGCUUCACAUACCAAUAACCUUAUGAAACAAAUGCAUGUUUUGUAAAUAAUAAUCUAAAAACGUUGAACCAUUAAAAUAAUGUAGUUUUUAUUCUGAUUCCCAAAUACAGUUUAAUUGAGUAUUUUUUAUUAUCAGUUUUUAUAACGAUAUUAUGAAGUUAGACAAUGAUGUCUUAGAUAAUGACAUGUAUUCACAAACUAAAGAACUUAACCAAUGUAUCAAAAUAGAAAAUAACCAUCCAUGUAUAUCCAAUUCACAAUACAUCUGAUCUUAAUAGUUUACAUUUACUGUCCUUUAUGUAAACAGUGUUAUUUAUUAAUAUUAUUAAACAAUACGUACGGUAGACUUACUACUUUUUAUAUCAUAUCAUUUGUUUACAUAUAGUAACAACCUUUCAUUCUCACUGUCUUCCAUACCACAGUUACCUCCUGUGCAGUGAGUCCAGAUGGAGACAGGAUAUACAUGUUUGUGACCAACGCGGCCAGUAACCAGCUGGUCACUCUGUCCAGGGAUGGCACAGUGAUUUCCACCCUGACUGUACCUGGACUGGACUCACCAGUACAAGUACCUGGCCUCCAUGUGACAAUGACAAAUUCAGGACAAGUUCUUGUGUGUGGAUUCAUGUCCCACACAAUCUACCAGGUGGACAGGGAUGGGAGACAGCGCCUGGCAGUGGUGGUCACACAGAAAGAUGGUGUGGCUAUACCUACAUCUGUCUACUACAGUACAAACACAGGCUCGCUUAUUGUAGGAAUGUUAUACACUAAUGACAUUAUAGUGUUUUAUUCACAGUGACUAUUGGAGUUGGACUAUGUUUGUUUUUAACCAUUUAUACAGUAUAUGUAUCUUUAUCAUUAAAAACAAUUUUACAGUUUUGUAUACACUGUAUAUAAUACGCAGUGACAUGAAACCUGUCUUGAAAAAAACGAUAUCAUUAUGAAAUUCGAUUUGAAAUAUUCUCACGUGUUAUUUGCAAAAACACCAUAAUUGGUUCAAUCAAAACAAGGUUUUAAAGGUUUGUAUAAACAUUUAAUAACAGUGAGUCUAUUCACAUGAUUUCAUUUGAGAGAAUGCGUUAACUUAUUGUUUGUAAAUAUUAUCUUAUGAUAUUGUU